GAUGAAGAACGCAGCGAAAUGCGAUAAGUAAUGCGAAUUGCAGAAUCCGUGAGUCAUCGAAUCUUUGAACGCACAUUGCGCCCGCCAGUAUUCUGGCGGGCAUGCCUGUUCGAGCGUCAUUACAACCCUCAGGCCCCCGGGCCUGGCGUUGGGGAUCGGCGGAAGCCCCCUGCGGGCACAACGCCGUCCCCCAAAUACAGUGGCGGUCCCGCCGCAGCUUCCAUUGCGUAGUAGCUAACACCUCGCAACUGGAGAGCGGCGCGGCCACGCCGUAAAACACCCAACUUCUGAAUGUUGACCUCGAAUCAGGUAGGAAUACCCGCUGAACUUAAGCAUAUCAAUAAGCGGAGGA
rnacentral:misc_RNA from 1 species